rnacentral:rRNA from 1 species
AUUGAACGCUGGCGGCAGGCCUAACACAUGCAAGUCGAACGAGUGGCGGACGCGUGAGGAAUGUCUGGGAAUCUGCCCGAUGGAGGGGGAUAAGUACUGGAAACGGUAGCUAAUACCGCAUACUACCGUAUGUGCCCAGAUGGGUUUAGCUAGUAGGUGGGGUAACGGCUAACCUAGGCGACGAACCCUAGCUGGUCUGAGCGGAUGACCGGCCACACUGGAACUGAGCCACGGUCCAGACUCCUACGGGAGGCAGAAGUGGGGAAUAUUGCACAAUGGGCGCAAGCCUGAUGCAGCCAUGCCGCGUGUAUGAGGAAGGCCUUCGGGUUGUAAAGUACUUUCAGCGGGGAGGCGUUACUCGCAGAAGAAGCACCGGCUAACUCCGUGCCAGCAGCCGCGGUAAUAC